AUUGAACGCUGGCGGCAGGCCUAACACAUGCAAGUCGAGCGGCUGAAGGGAGCUUGCUCCUGGAUUCAGCGGCGGACGGGUGGGUAGGGCCUAGGAAUCUGCCUGGUAGUGGGGGAUAACGUCCUGAAACGGGCGCUAAUACCGCAUACGCCCUGAGGGCGAAAGGGGGGGAUCUUCGGACCUUCCGCCAUUAGAUGAGCCUAUGUCGGAUUAGCUAGUUGGUGGGGUAAAGGCCUACCAAGGCGACGAUCCGUAACUGGUCUGAGAGGAUGAUCAGCCACACUGGAACUGAGACACGGUCCAGACUCCUACGGGAGGCAGCAGUGGGGAAUAUUGGACAAUGGGCGCAAGCCUGAUCCAGCCAUACCGCGUGUGUGAAGAAGGUCUUCGGAUUGUAAAGCACUUUUAUUUGGAAGGAAAAGCAGUAAGUUAAUACCUUGCUGUUUUGACGGUACCAAAAGAAUAAGCACCGGCUAACUUCGUG
rnacentral:rRNA from 1 species